CAAUCGGCUCUUUUCAGAGCCACCGAUUCUUUAUUAAGAACAUCUGU
rfam:Anopheles merus strain MAF unplaced genomic scaffold supercont2.145, whole genome shotgun sequence.